GAGCGUUAUCCGGAUUUAUUGGGCGUAAAGCGAGCGCAGGCGGUUAGAUAAGUCUGAAGUUAAAGGCUGUGGCUUAACCAUAGUACGCUUUGGAAACUGUUUAACUUGAGUGCAGAAGGGGAGAGUGGAAUUCCAUGUGUAGCGGUGAAAUGCGUAGAUAUAUGGAAGAACACCGGUGGCGAAAGCGGCUCUCUGGUCUGUAACUGACGCUGAGGCUCGAAAGCGUGGGGAGCAAACAGGAUUAGAUACCCUGGUAGUCAAGGGCGAAUUCGC
rnacentral:rRNA from 1 species